AGAGUUUGAUCCUGGCUCAGGAUGAACGCUAGCGGGAGGCCUAACACAUGCAAGCCGAGGGGUAUAUUUCUUUCGGGAGAUAGAGACCGGCGCACGGGUGCGUAACGCGUAUGCAACUUGCCCUACUGAAGGGGAUAGCCCAGAGAAAUUUGGAUUAAUACCUUAUAAUAGGAAUUAUGGCAUCAUAAUUCUUUGAAAGAUUUAUCGCAGUAGGAUAGGCAUGCGUAAGAUUAGUUAGUUGGUAAGGUAACGGCUUACCAAGACGAUGAUCUUUAGGGGGCCUGAGAGGGUGACCCCCCACACUGGUACUGAGACACGGACCAGACUCCUACGGGAGGCAGCAGUGAGGAAUAUUGGACAAUGGGUGGAAGCCUGAUCCAGCUAUCCCGCGUGUAGGAUGACGGCCUUAUGGGUUGUAAACUACUUUUAUCUGGGGAUAAACCUACUUACGUGUAAGUAGCUGAAGGUACCAGAAGAAUAAGCACCGGCUAACUCCGUGCCAGCCGCCGCGGUAA
rnacentral:rRNA from 1 species